AUGCUGGCGGCGUGCCUAAUACAUGCAAGUCGAGCGAACAGAUAGGAGCUUGCUCCUUUGAAGUUAGCGGCGGACGGGUGAGUAACACGUGGGUAACCUACCUAUAAGACUGGGAUAACUUCGGGAAACCGGAGCUAAUACCGGAUAACAUUUAGAACCGCAUGGUUCUAAAGUGAAAGAUGGUUUUGCUAUCACUUAUAGAUGGACCCGCGCCGUAUUAGCUAGUUGGUAAGGUAACGGCUUACCAAGGCGACGAUACGUAGCCGACCUGAGAGGGUGAUCGGCCACACUGGAACUGAGACACGGUCCAGACUCCUACGGGAGGCAGCAGUAGGGAAUCUUCCGCAAUGGGCGAAAGCCUGACGGAGCAACGCCGCGUGAGUGAUGAAGGGUUUCGGCUCGUAAAACUCUGUUAUUAGGGAAGAACAAAUGUGUAAGUAACUGUGCACAUCUUGACGGUACCUAAUCAGAAAGCCACGGCUAACUACCUGCCAGCAGCCGCUGUAAUACGUAUGUGGCAAGCGUUAUCCGGAAUUAUUGGGCGUAAGCGCGCGUAGGCGGUUUCUUAAGUCUGAUGUGAAAGCCCACGGCUCAACCGUGGAGGGUCAUUGGAAACUGGGAAACUUGAGUGCAGAAGAGGAAAGUGGAAUUCCAUGUGUAGCGGUGAAAUGCGCAGAGAUAUGGAGGAACACCAGUGGCGAAGGCGACUUUCUGGUCUGUAACUGACGCUGAUGUGCGAAAGCGUGGGGAUCAAACAGGAUUAGAUACCCUGGUAGUCCACGCCGUAAACGAUGAGUGCUAAGUGUUAGGGGGUUUCCGCCCCUUAGUGCUGCAGCUAACGCAUUAAGCACUCCGCCUGGGGAGUACGACCGGAAGGCUGAAACUCAAAGGAAUCGACGGGGACCCGCACAAGCGGUGGAGCAUGUGGUUUAAUUCGAAGCAACGCGAAGAACUUUACCAAAUCUUGACAUCCUUUGAAAACUCUAGAGAUAGAGCCUUCCCCUUCGGGGGACAAAGUGACAGGUGGUGCAUGGUUGUCGUCAGCUCGUGUCGUGAGAUGUUGGGUUAAGUCCCGCAACGAGCGCAACCCUUAAGCUUAGUUGCCAUCAUUAAGUUGGGCACUCUAGGUUGACUGCCGGUGACAAACCGGAGGAAGGUGGGGAUGACGUCAAAUCAUCAUGCCCCUUAUGAUUUGGGCUACACACGUGCUACAAUGGACAAUACAAAGGGCAGCUAAACCGCGAGGUCAUGCAAAUCCCAUAAAGUUGUUCUCAGUUCGGAUUGUAGUCUGCAACUCGACUACAUGAAGCUGGAAUCGCUAGUAAUCGUAGAUCAGCAUGCUACGGUGAAUACGUUCCCGGGUCUUGUACACACCGCCCGUCACACCACGAGAGUUUGUACCACCUGAUGCCGGUGGAGUAACCAU
rnacentral:rRNA from 1 species